CCUACGGGGGGCAGCAGUAGGGACUAUUGCUCAAUGGGGGAAACCCUGAAGCAGCAACGCCGCGUGGAGGAUGAAGGUUUUCGGAUUGUAAACUCCUUUUGUUAGAGAAGAUAAUGACGGUAUCUAACGAAUAAGCACCGGCUAACUCCGUGCCAUCAGCCGCGGUAAUACGGAGGGUGCAAGCGUUACUCGGAAUCACUGGGCGGAAAGAGCGCGUAGGCGGGAUAGCAAGUCAGAUGUGAAAUCCUAUGGCUUAACCAUAGAACUGCAUUUGAAACUGUUAUUCUAGAGUAUGGGAGAGGUAGGUGGAAUUCUGGGUGUAGGGGUAAAAUCCGUAGAGAUCAAGAGGAAUACUCAUUGCGAAGGCGACCUGCUAGAACAUAACUGACGCUGAUGCGCGAAAGCGUGGGGAGCAAACAGGAUUAGAUACCCCUGUAGUC
rnacentral:rRNA from 1 species